CCUAUGAAACCGGUGAAAAUAAAUUUACAUGGAAUGAUCUCAAAUACCAGAAACCAAAUUCCUCCAUCCAAUCAUACAUGUAUACCAUGGGUGUUAUUUUUGUGGUAUCUGCGGAUUGAUAUACCGAAUCCAUGUUCGUAGAAUAUUACUCCCUCCGAUCCAUAAUAAGUGUAUCUGCUGAGAAAGCAAAAGAAAAAAAAGAGAGACAGGUGGUUUAUCUAUCACCAAAUAGAGAUGAAUAUUAUAUGAUAGCAGCAGGUAAUUCUUUAUCCUUGAAUCAAGGUAUUCAGGAAGAGCAGGUUGUUCCAGCUACAUAUCGUCAAGAAUUUCUGACUAUUGUAUGGGAACAGAUUCAUGUUAGAAGUAUUUUUCCUUUCCAAUAUUUUUCUAGUACAAAGUUGUACUAACUUUGUACUAAAUUCCAUACACUUAUUAAUACUAACUUUGUACUAAAUCCCAGACACUUAUUAAUUAUUAUGGAUCGGAAGGAGUAUGUGCCUAUUUUUUCUUUUCCAGUUUAAAUAUUGACACUAAUAUUUUGAUAUUCUGUCUGAAUGUUGAUAUCUUUGUCAUUUUGUACACCUAUUAAAAAAAGGUAUAACUCGUUGUCCCUUGAAGAAUAACAUAGAAAUCUCCAGAAAUGUCCUCUUCCCUGUGAAAACCCGUGGAUGGACUUUCGCUAUCCCUUGAAAAGUAUCAUAGAAAUCCUAAGAAGUAUCCUCUUCGCCGUGUAAACCUGUGGAUGGACUUUCUUCAGCACUCAACUUAUUGGAGUUUCAUCUCCAUUAUUUGUGGUGAUAAAUGUCCUCUCUGCAUGGGUGCUCUCUUAUCCUAUGCUAAUGAUUUAUACCACUUUACAUUUGUACAUUACAAAUUGACAGCAAUUUCAUGCAUGUCUAUUUGCAUACUAUGUAUGUGUAGUAAAUGGCUUUUGCCUCCUUCCGCUGUUGCAAUGCAUUAUUGGAAUGUAGAAUGUGCUGUAUUUAUUAUUUUUCCAUCAUGCUUUUGUUCACAAGUUUCAGGUAGCAUAUUUCUGACCUUAGCACAUGGUAGGCUUGUCCUUUUGUGGCGUAUGGGUCUGUUUUAAAGUUUCAAAUGCGGCAGUGAAAUUAUUCAUGUUUUUAUCAAACAACGAGAAGUUUAUUUAUUUGCCUUUAUUUUCAGCUUGAAGGAGUGGAUGAAGAUUGGGAGGAAAUCAUUGAUGACCUGAUUGUUGCAUUUGAGAAGCAGCACAAGCGGAAACUCACAUACUAUGUCUCAUUUUACUAACUUCCUACCUCCCUGUGAGCAUUAUACAGAGGGAGGAUCAUUCUUAAUUUAACUUAAUGUCUGGAUGGUUUGUGGCAGCUGGAUUAUAUUGUGCUGGUCACUUAAUUGGCCUGACAGGAUAGACACUGAUCUUGAAGCUAUCAUAUGACUCGUGCUGCAUCCAGGUUUUGAUUUGCUGUAGUUGCUCCUUACAAUUGUAAGUGAUGAGCCUGAUAAAUGCACAGCCGCACAGCGGAUACAUUGUUUAGAGUUAGUAGCUAUGUGAUGAACAAUACUUUCUACUGAUGCUGACGUAACAUCACCACACACUGCAUGUAGUUCUUCAGGUGUCUUGGUCGAGCAACUUUCUCGGAUUUUGACCUGAAGUCGACUCUCUUUCAGUGUCAUCUCGGUUUUGUUUCUCUUCUGUUCUUCAUGUUGACCGGUCAGAUCUGUUGCCUCCAUGGCGUUUAAUCAUCUGCCGGUGCCAGAACCCUGUUUUGUGACGCUGAGAGCAAUUUUCAGUCAAAGAAAUCUUUCUAGAAGUAGAAUUUUUGUUUCGUUUUCAUGGGCAGGCCGUAGCCUGUCAAGGUUCAGGUAGUGUUGCCGUACUUUGCCGUACCCGUUAUACUCAUGUGUCGUCCUGGUUGUUUCGACGGCUUGAUGCCUUGAUGUGUUUGACCUGAAUUUUGGUUGGCUAUCAAUUCUUAUCUGUAGUGUACCAGAAUAUGGGAUUUAUAUAUUUAUUGCCUGUUCGUGCUGGAAAUGGGUGGAUUUUAUGUGAAACUCCUGCGUUCUAAUGUGACCUGAAUUUCAUUGCCAGAAGGGGUUUUAAAGGUGCCAAUCACCUUUUGUUUAUGAAAGGGCCAAUCACUUGUUCACUUGUGACUUUGAGAGUUUUACUUAUCAGAGUCGGUUAGGAGAAAUGGUUUCAUGAAGAGAGCUGACUUAACAGUUGUUAUGGAUGUGAACUAGAAAGGCUGGCUGCAUUUAUUAGGAAUGCUAAUUUGGUAGUUUUGACCAUGGAACACAAAGCUGUCCUUUUAAUGACAUUAAAAUUCCCACAUUUUUGCCCAAACUAACACAUGACAAUCCCAACACGACACUGACGUCUAAAUUGCAACUACUAGAAAGAGAUUAUGGAGUACUACCAUCUUUGCUCCUAGAAAAGAGAAAUGGAGAGAAGUAAACGAAGUGUGUUCUUUAUCCACGUCCAUGAACGACGCUGUGUGUCUAAGUGCAUCUCCCCCUUGCACACCCAUUAAUUAACUUAAUAGAGCCGCUAAUCUAACUAGUAAUACUGUCAAACCUUCCUUUGACUAGGUGACGGCGCGGUAAGGUACGAUAGUACUAUUUCAUUUUAAAUUCCCUUCGUUCGGGCAUAUAAGAUCUGGAUCAUCGAUUUGAUUAACUAAACAUAAUUUAUACUAUGUCAUACAAAUAUAUCAUUAAAUUUAUAUUCAAAAUAAGUUUUUAAUAAUGUGCUAUUUGUGAUAUACAACUCAUAUUUCGUUGAUCCAAUCAGUGGUCUAAGGAUACCGGCGGAUCUUAUUUACCCAAAUGGAGGUAUGUUUUGUUACGACAAGUGUUGCCGAUAUUUAAGUUACUCCCUCCGGCAGGAACUAUUUGUCACUGAUUAGUAUUCCCUCUGUACCAUAUUAAGUUACUCAAAUUUGGCCAAAUAUUGAUGUAUCUAUACCCAAAAAACGUCUAAGUACAUGUAAUAUUUCGUCACUUAAUAUGAGACAGAGGGAUUACAACUUUGUACUAAAUCUGGUACAAAUAAUAUGGGUCGGAGGGAGUUCUAAUUAAUAUGCCAUCUGUCAUAACUACUUCCUCCGUUUCAUAAUUCUUGUCUCAAAUUUGCUCUAAAAUGGAUGUAUCUAUUUCUAAAAAGUGUCUAGAUACAUGUAAUAUUUCGACAAGAAUUAUGGAACGGAGUGACCAGUUAAUAUUUUUUGGAACGGAUUGAGUACUGCCUUAAGCUAUCAAUUGCUUAAUACGUGAAACCCGAACAUGGAUAGAGGAGAAUCACAACUCCAAACGUCAAUGAACACACUUCCGUAAUUCCAUUCGACCGCGAAUUGACUUUUCACACAGGCUGCUCCAAUGUUUGUACUUUUUGUUCAGAAUCCAGCUGAUCAACCUAAUUAAUUAGGAGGCAAAUUUAAAACCCAAAGUAAGUGUGUCGGCAACAAUCUAAGAUGUCUUGAUCUUCAUCCGUUUUUCUUUAUCAAUACUUUGUAAAAGGAUGUCCAAUCGAGUCGAGACAUCCAUGCUCAUGCUUUCUUGAUGAUUUCUUUUAACCAAACCGUUGUCGCAAACUUGUCUGCCGAAUUCGAUUCAGAUUAUUUUAGUACGUGUUGCAAGCCAUGAUGAAUUCGAACUCCCCUUAUUAAAAGAUAACUGGUAUUGCGACGCUCACACUAUUUUUUUAGCAUAUUGCACGUGCGGGCAAUUGAAAUGAAUCAUCGGCAGUGACGUGUUGAGCAAGUGAAGAUAUUCCAAUCUUUUCCGGUAUACCAGUAGACGCAGAGUAAGUCAUCACGGGACACGUGUAAGCGAGAUUGGCCAACAAAAAGGAGAAAGGGUCAUUGUCCUGCAAUUGAUGUGAUGAAAAGUGAGAGUAAAUUUCGGUCAAGACUCAAAAGUGCUCAUAAUGUGAAGAAUGCAUUUUUCUUUUCUUUUCUUCCUAUAGCUGGUCUCUCCUUAUGACGCGUGGCCAUUAAGGACCGGGCAAUACUACUCCGUAUCAUUAUUCUGAGAAAAGUGACCGUUCUGGGUUAUGGUUAUAUUGGGACUACCGGAGCACUAAUAUUUGGAAAUUGGAAUGCAAAGAACAAAACAGCAUUGUCCUGUCCGUCCAGAAACUGACCGAUGAUUAUUCGCAUGUGAAUUAUCAGAUAGAAAAUUGAACCAUUGUAAAAAAAAACAAUGAUGUCAGAUCCAUAUCACGUAAUCCACAUGUUGUUAAACAACUAUUGUAAGGAAAAUUUUGAGAAUGCGUUUUAUAUUUCAACAAAGUAGUAGUUUCAAGUCAGGAAAUUAAUACGAUUCUCAGAUAAAGACAAGGAGAAUGGUGGUAAUGCAAAACCACACAGUAUGGAGUAAAAACACGCACAAUCAACAGUAUCAUGCGGAAAAUUGUGAACUAAAUUCUCUUUUGUACUCUCUCAAUUUGAAAUUAUACGUUCUAGUUUGUGUUAAGUCAAGAAAAUUAAAAUAAUACAACAUCCGUUUUCUAAAUUCUUGUCGUGGUUUUAGUUCAUCAACAAAAACCACGACAAGAAUUUAGAAACGAAGGAAGUAUCAAAUUUAUAAAACAUCUACAACUAUGUAUUGUAUUAAUUUAUUAAAUCUGUCGUAGUAUACUUAUUUAAUAUCAUAUGGAGCACAUGUUAGUACAUUUUAUUAUAACUUGAUUAAAUUUAAGUUUGACUUAGGACAAACCUAGAGCAUCUUAUAAUUUAAAACAGAGAAAGCAGCAUUCUAUACCCGUAUGUAGUAUUCUAAUUUCUCAAACUUUAAAAGAAGAUAACUCCAUCCGUCUGAGUAUGUAAGGCCCGUACGGAAUUUUAUGCCAAACUUUGACCAAAAGUUACGUUAGCUAAAUGAGUUUAUUGUGACACAAAAGCUAAAUGAGUUUAUUGUGAUACAAAAGAGAUAUUGUUGGAUUCGUAUUGAAAAAUUCUUUCUAAUGGUAUAAUUUAAUUUUUAUAUGCAUAUCGUCGUAUAAUUGUUGUUCAAAACUUGACACAAAACACAAUAGAAGGUUUAUAAACCGGACGGAGGGAGUAAAGUAUAGAGUAAUCAAAUUUUAUACUGGUACUCCGUAGAUUAUUUCCACCUGUCAUCUAUCAUAUGUACGAACUAAAUUAAAUUAACACGCGUCAUGUGGUACUCAUUCCGCUUGCGAAUUGUAACACGUGUCAUGUCAUGCACCAAUCAUCAUCAAGAAACAUUCUCUCUAACUAAGUUCGCAUGCCCGGUUGCCGUGACCGUAAAGCGUGUGCUUACAAUUAGUAUAUUCUGAUGCCAACGUGUUGCAUAAUUAGCUCUACUUAAUUUCCUUAUACGACACUGGGAGACUUAAUCCAGAAAAAUGCACUAAUUAACCAGCUUGCCAGAAAGUAUAGUUAAUCCAUCGCGAUCCUCCAAGUGCUCUGCCACCGACUUAACACUUACGGACACGUAUCUCUGUAUAAGUUCGUGCGUGCGUGCGUGGUCAAAGGUCAAACGAGAUGUGAAACACAAACCUACCUUGGUCAAAGCCAAUUGCUUUCGGAAGUCUCUCUUGUUUUUACAAGAAAAUGAACUAGAAGCGGGCAGCUAGCUUAUGUUAUAAUUAAUCCCCCGUUUUAUUAAACUUCUUUUAUAUGUUUGUUUUUGGUGUUUUAGCUGCAAUUUUGAAGAAGAAAAAAGACAUGUCAAAAUUUGGGCUUGGUCAAUAUAAAACAUGCUAAUAAAUUUAAUUUUGCACUUUAAUUUUUGAUUGAAAGCACCGUUUAUAAUUUUUUGCUAAUCCUUCUGAUUCUAAAUUGUUGUCGUUGUUUUAGUACAACGACAAGAAUUUAGAACCGCAGAGAAUAUAUUUUAGAAGUUAAUAUGCUGGCAGCCUGAAAAGAAGAGAAAAGCUGGGUGCAAUGCAGCUUAGCAAACAACCGAACUAAGCCUAAGGUGCUAAACAGCUGAAACAGCUGAAACAGUUGAACCUAUCACUUUCUUGGUAGUGUGCCGUGGCGUGAUACCGGCUAAAUGUAACCGAACUUUUGUAUUUGCUGCUCCGCCGCUCUCCCUUCUAUAAAUGACGAGAAAAAAAAUCCUAUGAUAAACACCAAAAGAAAACAACAUGCGGAUGGAGGUGCAUGAAGCAAAUUUGGCAACAAAGUAGGAAUAACAAAUCAUCUAUGUGUGUACACGCUUAAUGUAAAAAAAAAACACAGAGAGAGAAGGGAAUCGUAGCACAACUAGUGCACAGGUAUGGACACAAUUUGCAAAAUAACAGACAGUGGUCAGAUACAUUCGUACCUGGUUAGAUAAUGAAACGAAGCAAAUAUUGUUCACAUGCAAUGUAUGCAGAAAGGAGAUCAGAAGUACAUGCAUGUUUGGAUAUCUAUCGAUCGAUCACUGUUGUAUUGGCGGCGCGCGCGCGGUAAUUAUCCUUGGUCCCGAUCGACAGAUUAAUUAUCUUAACUGAAAAAGUACAUCUUGGUUACUUAGUUAAGCAGCCCCGGCCUUGAUUAGUGCUGAAGGCAGCUAGCUAGGUCGGCCGCUGCUGAAUGUCCGUGUGUGUAUAUAUAGUCGUUGGACCAGUCGUCCAGGGGAGGAAAGAAGCAUUUGUGAAAACUAAGGUCGCUCGACCGAGCCUGUCACGGAGCUAGCUAGAGCUAGAGCUAGCCAUACACUGGUCAAGCAAGCAAGAGUGUUUCAUGUGCUCCGGCGCCGCCGAGGUGGCUGACCCGGGAGGCGACCAGCACCGGCGGCGGAGGCUCGCCGGCGCCGGCGUCGGGGAAGACAACCGUGGUCAGCCCACGCCGCCCGGCGCCGCACUGACAACAUCGAUCUCGUCGACGGCGAUGAUGUGGCGGCGCAGGCAGGCGCACGAGAUGUCGGCCAUGGUGUCGGCGCUGGCCAACGUCGUGGCCGGCGGCGAGGGCCCCGCCGCCGCUUCCUCGUCGACGUCGGUGAAACGGCCGGCCGCCGAGCAGCUCGUGGACGACGCGGAUGAGGCGUGGUGGUCGCCGGUUCCGGCGGCGUACGGAGGCCAGCUGCCAGGCGGCGCCCCGGGGACGGCCACGCCGCCGACAUUCCUCGCCGGUACGUAAUCGUGCAUGCAUGCACACGCUUGCAUACGCUUAUUUUUUUCUUCGUGCAACACGCACAAAACGACGUGUACGGAGUAUUAUUCUUCCAACUGUUGUCUUAAACAAAGGCCAGCGAGCACUGCCAAUUACUCCCUCGCUCUGAUCUUAAAUAUGUCCAAAUAUAGAUGUAUCUAUUUUAAAAAAAUAUUUAGAUACGUGUAAUAUUUCGACAACAAAGCAUCGGAGGAAGUACUAACGACUCGUUCGACUCGCGCACGUUUCUUGAUCUUCUUUUUUUUCCAAGCACAACAACCCCAAGUUCAUUUAGUAAUCAAGCACACGUGUAUAUGAUUAGUAAUCAAGUACACGUGCAUCGUUGAGUAGCUCAGUAGGUGUGCGUAUGGAUGACCCGAUCGAGGAUUCGAGAUGGUCCAUGUUUCUGAAGGCAUCCACGCCGACAGAAGCGUGUUUCACACCAAUGGGUGUCAGACAGUCAGACAGAACAAGAAAGGAGCCAGAAGCGUGAUCGCAUUCUUCCUCUGUAUUUGUUCCAUGUGACAGAUAGUAGAUGCUUAACAUGAGAGGUUCCAGAUAUUUAAAGAGCCGCCAAAAACAUGAAGGCAUAUCUGCAUUCUCGUUUUCCCACUGUUUGCAUUCACAUCACGCUUCAAAUUAAAAACAUUCAUUCAACAUGUGGACGCUUUGACCAACAAGUAGCUUCUUUUUUGGCUGAUGAAGCAAAACAGAGCAAGUAGGAGUGAUCAAGGAUAACAGAGGAACGUGUAAAGAAAGAGAAGAAAAAACAGAGGAAUAGCCACGCAGGCAGAAUACGAUUCAUUAUUCUUGCCUUGUCAUGCAAACAAAAAGGAAAAAAUGUUCUAAUCGAAAAGUUGGAGAUCAGAAGGAAUCCAAAACAUUCUUCCGCUAAUCUCCUCUGUUUCUCUGACCCCGCUUGCAGAUUACGCAGCAGCAGCAACGACGCCGACGGCGCAGCAGCAGUACCAGCCUUCGUCCUCGGCGGCUGCGGCGGCAGCGAUAGCAGGGGACGAGGAGCUGCCUUCGCCGUCGUCCGGCGGGCCUCGGAAGCGGUACAGGGGCGUGCGGCAGCGGCCGUGGGGGAAGUGGGCGGCGGAGAUCCGGGACCCGCACAAGGCGGCGCGCGUGUGGCUCGGCACCUUCGACGACGCCGAGGCCGCCGCCCGCGCCUACGACGCCGCCGCGCUAGGGUUCCGCGGAUCCCGCGCCAAGCUCAACUUCCCCGAGUCCGCAUCCCUCCUCCUCCCGCCGCAGCAGCCGAAUCAGCCGCCUCCUCCGGUCGCGAUGCCGCCGCCGCAGAGGCCGGAGGCGCUGCUGGAGUCGCACGCGAUGUGGGGGGAUCAGAGCUACUCCCAGUACGCCAGGUUCCUGCAGGGCGGCGCCGGAGGAGAUCAAUCGGCCUCGGGGACGGCGGCAGCGCCUCCUCUGCUCUACAGCUUCGGGGCAGGCGCGAGCUACGCCUUGCAACCGGAGAUGAGCAGGCCGGGAUACCCGGCGGCGGCCUCGCCGUCUUCGGCGGAAGCCUGGGCGGCGACCUACGGCUUGCACGAUGACCCCCGUCGGCGGCGGGAUGAUGAUGAGCCGCCCUCGGGUUGACGCGGUCAGAAUGAUACUGUUGCUGACAGGUGGGGCCGGCUUCCUGAGGUCCGGUCAACGCGAACCCUGACUGACGCUGACAAGGAGGGAGAGAGAGAAAUGCGGCCGAGCGGUUUUCCACGUGGCGUGGUCAGCGUGUUCGGACGACGGGCGAGGGGGAGGAUUUCACGGAAGUUAAGGGAAUUGUUUGGUUUCUUUGGAUUCGAAUUCUUCUGGUAUUGUUUUUAGCAACUUAUAUCGGUGAAUUUCGUUUGCGGAAUUUCAAAGGAUUGUGUUGUGAGACUUGUGACUGUUAAGAUUUGCCGGAGAAUCGACGCAUUGCUUUGUUGCUGCCCAGUCCGUACGUAGCCUCUAUCUAGGCAGAGCUUAUUGCCCUGUCAUGUCUGUCCGUUGAGCUCGCUUCAUCUUCUUCGCCGCUCGUGUUUGCUCGCUCGACAAUUGUCUUGUUGUGCAGGGAUGUAUACAUAAGAUGUAGAGAAAUAUUGAAAUAACUAAAAUAGAACUGCGUGGAUAAUUCGAUUCUUUUGUCAGACACUCUGCUCACUUCAUGCCUUCCAUAUUAUGGAAAAAUAGUUUUCUUUUCAUAAUUUGGGAAAAACUACGUAAAUGAAUGGUCAAUCUUUUUCAUAUCCCGUAUUUGUUGAAAUCGGACACCGAUGGUCCCUCGCCGAUGACGGGCUAUGUGUACUUACAUGUGCGCCGAUCUAUCGAAAUCAUUGUCAAAACACACUAAAACGAUAGAUUUGUAUUUUUUUUUAAAAAGAAGACAUUUCUCAAGAAUGAUAGUUCUCUUAGAAAAUUAACGUCGUGUGGUUUGUGAAAUUUACUUUACAUCUCUGCGUUGCUAAGAACUAAAAAACACCACACCUCAACACACUACGAGACCAACGAGCAAUAGUAUUUGCCACUUCAUUACUUUUACGGUUAACCUUGGACACUUUGAUGCCUGGGUCGUACACGAGCAGCUUCUUGAUGUGUGCAAUGAGCCCAGCAAUAGGAGACCGGCAAGGCCCAGGGCUAUUGAUAGCCUGAACCACGGCAGCAGAAUCACAUUCAACAAGCAUGGGCAAAGACGACACUUGAUGGAGCGAUUGGAUGGCAAAGAGGCAAGCAGCAGUUUCAGCCAUCUCUGCAUCCAAGCAAUUGUUGAUCACAUUCCAGGCAGAGGCAAUAACCAUGCCCUUGUGAUCAUGUAGGACAGCGUCCCAAGCCGCUGAACCAUCUUGAGGAAGGAAGCUGGCAUCAACAUUUAGCUUGACGUGCAUAGCAUCAGGGGUUCCCAGCGAGGAGGGGUGAUGGCAGGCUGGACAGGAGGAGGAGGACUAGGUCCAGCAAGAAUUCCUUUCCCUUUAGAGCAAGCAGUGGUCUGGUUGGUCUUCAGGUUUGACAGCGAGUCAAAAUAGUUGCAGAGGAACCGGGCAGACGCCUGGAUAGAAGCUUUCCCAUCUCCAAAAAUAAUGUUAUUACGAAGAUGCCACGCUCUCCACCAAAGAAACAGGAGGCGAACACGAUCAACAGGGGAUAUAUUGUCCAGGAGAACGAGGACCCAGUCCUCACCGGAAAACCUCAGUUUCUCUUCGGGGGAAGAUCCUAGGCUUCACGGAGACAAUCCCGAAGGGCUUUAACUUUUGGGCAGGACAUAGUAGCAUGAUAGCCAUCUUCAGGUUCCAUACCACAAAUGGAGCAGGUAGGGAGGAUUGUCAUGGCACGUCUGGAGCGAUUAGCUUGCACAGCAAGCGAGUUAGAGGCCAAUCUCCAAGCAAAAACUUUAAUUUUUUGGGGGACACCGGCCUGCCAAAUGAGGUUCCAGAUUCUGCAACUACCAUCAGGAUUAUUGCUUCCCCCCAUCGCUGACAGGUCAUGUUUGAUGUUGAGAAGACACCGGUUUUUUCAAAUUGCCAGGCAAUCACAUCUUCAGAAUCGGUGGGAGGGAGUUUAAUUUUCAGAAUUUCCUCAGCAUCAAACGGAUGGAAAAUGUUGCUGAUAAUGUCUGUUUUCCAUUAGUUAGUACUGUGGUCAAUCAAAUUUGACAUCUGGUUCUAGUAGGAGAUGCAGAAACUUUAAGAUUUUUCCGGGGGAUCCAAUUGUCGCGCCAAAUCUGAAUUUUAGAUCCGGAGACAACGCGCCAAAUAAUUUCUUUCUUGAGCAGGUCCAGGCCGUGAGCAAUGCCUUGCCAGCAAGGAGACGGGUUUUUGAUAAAGGCAGUGUCAGUAACUGUUCCGGGGGAAAAUAUUUGGCCUUCAACACUCUUGCACAAAGAGAAUCCGGGUACUGUAAGAGCCGCCAAGCUUGUUUAGCUAGUAGCGACUGAUUAAAAAGUCGAAGAUCUUUAAAACCCAUACCACCACAAGAUUUUGGGUUGAUCAUACGGUCCCAGCUCAUCCAGUGGGUCUUGCGGCAGUUUGUUUCGUCACCCCACCAAAAAUCUCUAACAAUAUGAGAAAGAUCCUCGCAGAGAUUAGCAGAAAAUAUAAAGACACUCAUGGUAUAGGUGGGAAUUAAUUGAAUGACAGAUUUAAUCAAAAUCUCUUUUCCCCCACUAGACAGAUAUUUCUCAUCCCAAUCAGAGCACUUUUUGUUGAUUUUCUCUUUAACAUAGUGGAAUUUACCAUCCUUCAUGCGACCUUCAGGCACAGGAAGGCCCAGGUAUUUAGCUUCAAAACUUUCAGAAUUCACUCGGAGGAUUUGCUUUACAGAAUUCGAAUUCUGGUGAGUGCGCUUAUUUUCCAUAAGGAUGGAGCAUUUAUUUCUGUUGAGCAGUUGUCCAGUGUCUCUCUCAUAGGUCAUAAGGAUUGUCUCGAUCUUAUGGCCUUGGUCCGGAUUAGCUCUGAAGAAAAGCAGGCAAGCGUUCGCGAAAAGGAGGUGGGAGAUGCCUGGGCUGUUACGGCAAAUGUGCAGGUCGUUCAAUGCGCCGUUGGAAAUUUCCUAUUGAAGGAGGAGGGAUAGACUUUUAGCAACAAAAAGGAAAAGGUACGGUGAUAACGGGUCACCUUGACGAAGGCCACGGCUUGGCUGGAAUUUUUCAAGAAGCUUUCCAUUGAGCCGGACUGUAUAGCGAACAGUGGAGACACAGCACAUAAUCCAUUUUAUCCAUUGAUAGGAAAAGCCAAAUUUAAUCAAGGCUGCCUCCAAAAAAUUCCAAUCAACUCUAUCGUACGCCUUCGCUAAAUCCAAUUUAUAAGCACAGAAUAUUCCACGAUCAUUUUUAUUUUUUUGUAUAGCAUGGAUGCAUUCAAAAGCGAUAAGGGCAUUGUCGGUGAUCAUUCUACCAGGGAUGAAAGCACUUUGGGUUGGAGAGAUCAGAUCUUGGAGUAGGGGCCGAAGUCUGCUGGCCAAGCAUUUGGAAACGACUUUGAAAUAACAUUGCAGAGCCUAAUUGGGCGAAAAUCCUUUAGCAGCGUUGGGUCUUUCUUCUUAGGGAUAAGGACAAUAGUUGUUUCGUUAACGCCUUCUGGCAUCGAGCCCUUCUGAAAAUUCCUUGACGGCACGGCAGAUGUCCUCCUUGAGCAGACCCCAUUGCCACUGAUAGAAAUGAGCCGGGAUUUCGUCUGGCCAGGGGCUUUCCAAGGGCCAAUCUGGAAGAGGGCAGUACCGAUUUCCUCAUCCGUAAAAGGCAUGCAGAGGUCGAUAUUCAUAACAUCAGUGACUUUGGGGGUGAUGACAUCAGUAGCCAAGUGGGGGGUGACUUGUUGAUCAUAGGUGUAGAGAUGUUUGAAAAAUUCAGUCGUCAAGGUUUCCAUCUCAACACUGUCAGUAGUCAAAGAGUCAUCCGGCUUCUGCAACUUGGAGAUAUUGUUCUUUUUUGCUCGCCAAGUCGCUUCCUUGUGGAAAAAAGCAGUGUUGCGGUCCCCAGCACGGAUCCAAUCCAUUCUUGAGCGUUGGUGCCAAUAGAUCUCCUCUGAGUCGAGUAAAUCAUCGAUCUGUUUGGAGAUGGAUAAAGCAACUUGAUGAUUUUGUCCACUCGGGCUAGUUUGGACAGCAGCCAAGUGCUUCGUUCGGUAAUAGCAGUACCGAUCGCCAAACGAACUGACGACGGGCAAUACGGCAAUGGACAUGUUACCCGACGACGUGUUCGCGGACAUCCUCGGCAAUCUGGACCCCCGCACCCUAGCCGCCUGCCGCUGCGUCUCCAAGUCCUGGCGCGCCACCGUGGACGCCGGCCGCCUCCUCCGCAACGACCUCCUGCCACUCUCCUUCGCCGGCAUCUUCGACCUCUACAGGACCGACAUCGGCGACGACGUGCCCCCGACGUUCUUCUCCCGCCGUAACCCCCCAACCUUCCACGGGAGCCUCGCCUUCCUCGACGACGCCGCCGCCGACUGGUCGUCCUCCAUCAAGGACCACAGCAACGGGCUGCUGCUCCUCUGGGAGGGCGUGGCCAACCCUGCCACGCGGCAAUGGGCGCAGCUUCCCCCUUAUCCAUGGCUCAGCAGAGACAACCGCGCCUUCCUCGUCUUCGAUCCUACGGUCACGCCGGCCUCCUCCUCGCCUACGACAUCUAUUUUGUCCUCAGGUAUGUAUAUGUGUUUGGUACGUUUUCAUAAUUGUUGUCUUCAUUAGCAAGGUCGUUUUUUUUAUAAGAUGUUUUAGAUUUUUUCUAAAUCAAACUUUUUUUUUGAAAAGUUUUUAAAGUUUGACGACCAAGAUUUUACAAAAAUCUACCAACAUCUACGAUUCUAAUUCUAUUUUACUAAAUCCGCCAUGAUAUGUAUCUGCCUAAUAGUGGACUACUUGUACAAAUUUGUACAUUUUUACUAUAAAUUUGCUCAAACUUUAAGAAAUGUUUGUGUUCUUGUAUACAAACAAGGGCAACCAAGGAGUAGCAUGUAAACUGCUCAGGUAGUCGAUCUAGUCAUAGAUUUGGUUGCUUGACCCUAAGAAAUCAAGAAUACGGUGUUUUCAUCCUCUGUUUUUUAAGAGAAAAAUGAACGUUUAUCUGCGACGUACAGCUUGAGUUUUGCUAGAAACCUGUCAGAUGUUCAUGUAUCGUUCUUGAGAAAAAGACUCAUUGAGACGAAGAAAAAUUAGAUUGAAAAUAAUUUGUGGAGCACCGAACAGAAAACCAACCCCUGCCCGGGCCUGGUUACAGAUUACAAUGCUUAACAAGACGCGUAACAAGAUACCCUUUCCCGACACACAUCACUAAAACUGACACGUAUUUCGUACACACGUCCAACGAAUAGAAAGAGCAUCAAACUGGCACAGUAACGCCUCCACGUCACAGGCUGGCACGUCCAAGGUGGGCAAGCUACCGAGAAAAAACACAGAUAAAAAUCAGUCAAACCAACGGACUAAGCCCAGCCCACACAUAUCCACGGCCCAUAAACGAAAGCGCAGCGAAGCGCGCAGGCCCGUAUAGUGGACUCUAUUUGUACUCGGUCGCUGAGGACUGAGUAGCUAACAAGUACUGUUUCUUUGGUGUUCCUCUCAAAGACUCGAUCCGUAGCUAACAAGUUAAUUGGAGAUUCUACCGGACCGGACUCUAAUUAACCCACCGGCCUGGACCCACGAGAUUGCAUGAUGAAGCCUUAUAUAUAUAUUUUUUUCUCUGUUUCUCGGGUAACACUAAUCACCAAACGAACUAACAUGGACGUGUUACCCGACGACGUGGUGGCGGACGUCCUCGGCCAUCUAGACCCCCGCAGCCUGGCCGCCUGCCGCUGCGUGUGCAAGUCCUGGCGCGCAACCGUGGACGCCGGCCGCCUUCUCCGCAAGGACCUCCUGCCGCUCUCCGUCGCCGGCAUCUUCGACCUCUACAUGACGGGCAUCGGCGAGGAGCUUCCCCCGAUGUUCUUCGCCCGCCCGGCCUCCAUCAACAACCCUCCCAUCGACACGGACCUCCUCAGCUACCUCCACGCCGCCUUCUUCCACGACUGGGCCUACUCGUCGGAGAUCACGGGCCACUGCAACGGCCUGCUCCUCCUCUUCGCGGCCGUCGCCAACCCGGCCACGCGGCAGUGGGCCCGCCUGCCGCCUUACCCCCGCGAGGAUCCACGGCCCAACAAGGCCUUCUACCAGCACGCCUUCCUCGCCUACGACCCUACCACCGCCGCACCGUCUCAGCAACACUUUGAGGUCUUCUUCAUGCAAUGUCCUUUCCGCACGGUCAGCGAGCGCAGGACCAGGACUGAGCUCGACCCUGCCAACCCGGGCUUGGAGUGGCCGCCGUCGCCCUUCGUCAUGAGCGUCUUCUCGUCGAGGACGUGGCGCUGGGAGGAGAGGUCUUUCGUCAGGGAAGGGAUGGGUGCACGGCAUAUCGCAAGCUUGGUGCCGUUUCUUGAAGAUGUGAGCCGCCAUGAUUCCGUGUAUUGGCGGGGACGGCUCUACGUCUGCCACAUAUUUUUUAUUAUCAGGUAUGCAAUGUUUCCCUAUUAUGCACUUAAUCAGCAAUAGGUACAUCCGUUUCUUUUUUAUAAGAUGUUGUAGCUUUGUUCAAGGUCAAACUUCUUAAAAUUUAGUAUUACAUACUUGAGGUAUACUUAUUUGGUAUCACGGAGUAGUAUAUUUUCCUACAGAACUUGAUCAGAUUUUAACAAGUUAGAUUUAGGAAGGGAAGGAGUACUACAUAUGGUUGCCAACCAGCUGCAACCAAGCUUGUACCGAUGCAGAAAACUCUUCCUCGAGGAACUUGACCUUGUCUGUCCAUAGGGCUAAGAGAAAAGAAGGUACUAUGUGGCUUCAGCGCAUGGAUCGCCACUUUUAGAUGAUUGGCCUUUUAUUUCUUCUUUUGUACAAUUACUUUUGAUUAAUAUAUAUGGCAAUAGGUCUUUUGACCUAUUGCCUUUGCCCCUCAAUUUUUUUUUUUAUGGUUGCUAAUAACAAAACUCGUGUGCAGAUUGGACUUGGAGGAUAAUAGGUACCAUGUGAUUCAACUCCCCCCAAUGAAAGAAGGAGAACCAUGCAGAAAGAUUGACCGAUAUUUCGGAAAAUCCAAAAAUGGUGUGUACUAUGGAUUUGUCCAAGGCUGGUGCAAACUUCAGGUUUGGUUUCUUGAUGAAUCAACUCAAGGGACGCAUGAGUGGGUGUUGAAGCAUGAUACCGACCUCGAGCCCUUUCUGUCAAAUUUCCCUUGGAAACAUGGUGAUGGACCUUGGUCUGUACAAGGCUAUUCCGUCAAUGCAGAAGAUACACUAGAGAAUGAAGAGAAACCAGAAUGGGAUUCAGAUAACGAUGAUGGCAUUACUGCUAGUGCUGCUCAUGAUAGUGUCCAAAAAAGAUUUGGUAUUUGGAUACUUGGAUUUCAUCCUUACAAAGAGAUUGUCUUUUUGCACACAACAUCAGGCAGAGUAAUGGCCUAUCAUCUUAAUAGCUCAAAGGCUGAGGAUCUCGGUUGUUUACCCUUAGACCGCUAUGACUAUGUUGUUAGAUUGGGGUUGCCUUUUACAUACACGCCUUGCUGGAUGGAGAUCAGCUGCUUGAGUUUAGAGGCCGGUGUCGAUCGAGCUCUAGGGCGGCUAUAGCAUGUAGCUUGAUAUCUUCAAAUUAACUUCAGUAGAUUUUCAGUUUGAGUGUACGACAUGUUUGUGUUCUUGCAUACAAUGGCAGCCAAGGAACACCAUGUAAACUGCUCAGCUAGUCUAGUCAUAGAGUUGGUUGCUGAACCCUAAGAAAUCAAGAAUACGAUGUUUUUAUCCUCUGUUUUUUUAAGGGAACAAUGGACGUUUAUAUGUCAUGUACAGCUUGAGUUUCGCUAUAAACAUGAAAGAUAUGCAUGUAUCGUUCUUGAGAAAAAGGCUCAUUGACAAUGUUUAGAUCCAUAGAUGCUUCCAAUAUCCAGAUGUGCCCCUACACUGUAACCUACCUUGGUGUACAGCUACUCUACUACUCCCUCCGAUCCUAAAUUGUUGUCGUUGUUUUAGUACAAAUUUGAACUAGAAUAAUGAUGUCAACAAUUUAGGAGUAGUAAACUAUCAAACAAAGAAGACAUUUUUGAAUGCCAACAAUUUAGACCAUUUUAUGAAAUGGCUCCUCCAAGAAAAGCAACAGUACUUGAGGUUGCAUUUUGCGACCAGGUCGGAUGACGGAGAGAGGCUGCAACUCAACAAGAGAGUACUCCAUGAGAAUGGAGAAAUGCAGCAAGGUCGGAGCUCGAUCACCUGAUCAUCGCCGGUGCCUCCUCUUUGCCUCUAUUCGUUUAUAUGCAUGUAUUGACGAACAAAUAGCAAAAAAAAUGACCGUUGGGAGGGAGCGCUCCUGCGACGCGCUGGGCGACGCCCACCACCCAGCUCCGGCGCUGGCCGCUCCGGCCUUGCCGUCCACCCGGCUCUCUCUGCGCCCUUUCCAGCUGCCCCCGCCCCCCCGCUCGGUUCCCGCUGGCUUUCUCCCGGUCUACCUCGGUAAGUUUUGCAGUGCUUCGCAGCCAGACCUGGUUCCGCCGCUCCAGAUCCAGCCCCCCGCGAGCUCUGCUGGCUCCGCCGCUGACGUGGAGGACUCGGCAGCCUCCAUCUUCGACCCCUCUCAUGCUGUCUGCGCUCGGGUCAACGAGGCUCUGUCGAGCUGGCGUGCGACGUGCUUCCCCGAUUCGGACAUCUUGAUGGCUCCCCCGACCGCAUUGAUGACGCCCCCGGCCUCGCCUGCAUUCACGCCGCGCCCUGCCCCGACUGCUCCGUUGGCGCCGGCCGCAUUGAAGAGCAUCCUGAAGCGGCCCAGAGACUUCAACGCGCCUGCCCCUGCCCAGCGCCUUAAAUCCGUCGCCUUUGCCGUUCCGGGACGCGGCAUUGAAGCGGCGGAGCGACGGGCCCUGUCUCCAUCAUCGCUUUCGGCGCUUCUCCUGGCUCCCCUUCCGGAUUACCCGGAUUCUCGCGAUUUGGGAGACGGAUUCAUUGCUCAGCGGGAUGCCUCCUCGCCGGAACAGGACUGGGAGCUCGUCAGGUCGCGCAGCUCGAGACGACAUGACAUGCCGCCCCAGCGCCGCCCGCCUCCCCGCGCCAGGCAAAGCCGCGUCUGCACGUCCCCGGGCUACAAAUCCCCCUCCCCUGGCGCCUCCAACUCCAAGCCCCCCAAGCCGCACUGCUUUCGGUGCUUCGCCAGCGACCACCUUGUUGCUGCCUGCCGCGACCCCAUCCGCUGCUCCUCUUGCCGGUGCUACGGACACACUGCCCGCCGUUGCAGGUCCAGAAGGACGCCGUCGCCGUCGUCGUCUCCACCCCCCGCUCCCACCAUGGCGCCGCACCCCCUCCCGAUGCCGGCCCCGCCUCCCGUUUACGGCGCCCCUGCUCUCCGGCCGGAGGAGGACACCUGCUUCGUGGCCACCUCCUUCGACCUCGACCGCGACCGGCUGGACUGGGAGAGCUCGGCGGUGGUGGCCUGGGUGCUCGACGCACCCCGCGGCACCACCCGCACCGACGUCGACCGCGCCUUCCGCCACCACUUCAGGCUCUCCCCGCAUGAACUCAUCGUCAGCAAGCAUCACCCGGAGGAGUACCUCGCCAAGUUCGAGCAGAGGCUACGGCGCGACGAGGUGCUACGCGUCCCCAACGGUUUCUUCCGCGCGGCCGGCCUCAAGGUGCACGUGCGCCCAUGGCGCUCUGUUUCCCAUGCCUACGGCGCUAACCUCUUCUUCCGUGUGCACAUCCACCUCAAGAACGUUCCGCCCCACGCCUGGCGCCCGGACAUCGUCGAGCGAAUCAUCGGCCGGCACUGCACGCUCCAGCGCAUAGACGACAACGCCACCGAGAUGGAGGACACGUCCACCCUGGGCCUCUGGGCUUGGACCACGAACCCGAACAAGAUCGCCAAGGGUGGAUGCGCGGUGUGACUUUCCGUGUCCUCAUCCACCUCGAUCGCGUCGAAGACUACUCCAAGGCCUCGAUGGACCUCUCCGACGCCGAGCUUGAUGCCUUCAUCCCGGACUCCAACGAACUGUAGUGGGCCAUGGGCGCCAUCGACGGCAUGCCACCACCGUGGACCACGACCGCACCUAUCCCGCCCUUCAGCCGCGAGGGCACCCAGGCGGGCGUCCGCCGCGAGCAGGGAGCGUCGUUGGCUUCGCGCAAAGGAGCCACGGCGCUCUUCCUCCCGCCGCCGUUCUGCCUCACGGCACGGCCGGCGUCCCUCACCGGAUGCCGUGAGUCGCGGCACGACUCGGAGCGCCAGCAGCGGGAGCCGCGCCCCUUCGGACGACGAUGGCGACGAGGCCCCGGACUCGCGACGACCACCCCUCCUACGCGGAGCCACGACGACGCGACGACCACGGCGACGACGAGGAUGCCCCUGGCCGCCAUGGGCGCGCUGCGCGCCGCCCCUCGUCCCGUCUCUCGGCUGCUCCCGUUCGCCGCGAGCGGGAUCGCUCCACUCACCGCUGGGGACAAGGCUCCCACCGCCACGGCUACCAACGCCUGGCACCCACGCCGUCGGCUCUCCUUGCGGCGCCUUCCCCAGCUGCAGCGCCCAGGCCGGCGCUACCCCCCCCCCCCUCCUUCUCGACGACGACAUCCAGGCCCGUCUGCAGGCCUUGCUGGACAACCACGUCAACGCCCUUCGCAUCGAGAUGGAGGCAGUCCUGCGCCUCGCGCCGACAUCGGCGCGGUCCGUUGCCCUCGCCGGCCCGUUCCUUCGCUGAGGUCUGCAACGCCUGGCUGGCUGGUGCGACGCCUUCCCUCGCGCCCUGGCCCCCUACACACGCCGGUCCGUCUCUGUUCACGCUCCCGCUGACCACGCGGCCGAGGGGUGCGGGGCCGCCAGCCGAGCCUAGAGCUUCUGCCAACGUGCACCGCCUGGGACGUGGCUCCCGGCUCUAUGCUGGAGUUGCACGCGAGCGUCGCCUGGGUCACAGGGGACGACGGAGUGAUCGCGGCGCCCGUGAUGGAGCUCGCGGUGGUCGCUGCGCUUGCGGCGGAUCACGACGACGCUGCGGCCGCUACGCCCGGGGCGGAGCCCGCGGUGGUCGCCGCGCCCGCGGCGGAGAACGAGGCGGUCGCCGUGCCUGCGGUGGAGUUUGAGGUCGUCGCCGCGCCUGCGCCCGCGGCGGAUGACGAGGCGGGUGGACGGUCUGGACAGCUUCGUCGCGCCCGAAGAAGUGCACGAAACCGUUGCUGCGGCCGCCCCCAGGAUCGAGGACCCCUCCGUCAGCGAGGGCACUGCCGCUGGUGAGGACGCUGCUACCGGUAUGGACGAGGUCUCUGACGACGGCGGCAUCGCGACGCUCUCCUCCAUCGACAACCUCUUCGAUCGCCCUGCCUCUCCGGUGCUGGCUACCCCUGCACCUGUGCUGCUGCCAGCGCCUGCUGUGGCUCGCCGUCGCAGCGCGCGCCUCCGCGCUAAGCCACAGAUCCCCGCGGUUGACAAGGCCAUCAGCGUCCUCCACAAGAAGCUGGGCUUGGAGCGCCUGGGGAUGCCACUGGAAGCUGCCCGUCAAGACUACGUCAACUUGUUCAAGGAGCCCCUGCCCCCUGCUGCUAUCCAGGCGCUCGGGGCCCUGUUCAAGCUGAGCCUCCCUGCCACCGACGAGAUCGAUGACGCCCUCAUUGGGGCGGGCGUUGACGGAGCGCUCGAACAACAGACGGCCCCGGCGGCUCUGGUUUCCUAGAUGCAUCGGCUUCCCCCUUGCUGUGUGUGGGCCUCUACGGCCAGUGGAUGUAAGCCUUCUAGGCUGCGUUGUAUCGUAGGUGUGCGUCUUCAGUUGCGUUGUUUUAUUUGUAUGAGAACUGGCUCCGGCCUCGUUGUCACGGCUCCUUCCAUUUCGUUCGUCUGCACUGCGCCUUUCACGGCCUUGACGUCUGCCAAGUUUCCAUGAUUGGACCAAACCUCAACAUCCUUAGUUGGAAUGUCCGCGGACUUAAUGACCCAUCGCGCAAAGACGUCGUCCACGCCACCAUCGUUGACACCCGCUGCCAUGUUGUCUGUCUUUAGGAGACGAAAUUGGCCGCCAUCUCCCAAAGCGAUGCCAACUACAUUGGUGGCUUCCGGCUUGCUAAGCACGCCCACCUGCCGGCCGAGGGGACAAGGGGCGGCAUCCUCCUGCUUUGGGACGAAAACAUCGUUGUCCUUUCUGACAUCUCCUUCGGCACCUACUCGGCCUCGGCCACGGUCACCAUCCUCGAGAGUGGCAUCUCCUUCAAGCUUUCUUCAGUCUAUGGCCCGUGCGCCGACAACGCGAAACCUGCUUUCCUCGGUGAGAUCGGGGCUCUUGCACCGGCCGCGGAGCAAAAAUGGCUCAUCCUCGACGAUUUCAAUCUCAUUUACCGCGCCAGCGACAAGAACAAUAGGAACCUCAACCUGCGCCUCAUGGGCCAAUUCCGCCGUGCGCUCGAGGACUGCAAUCUUAAGGAAGUCAACCUCUAGAACCGGAAGUUCACAUGGAGCAACAAGCGUGGGUCCCCCACCUUGGUCAAGCUUGAUCGCGCCUUCUGCAACAACGCCUGGGAUCUGGCUUUUGACAACCACACCCUUCAUGCUCUUUCAUCCUCGCUCUCCGACCAUUGCCCCAUUCUCCUGUCCAACCAGAGCGGCCCUUGGCGCCCCCGCCAAUUCAAAUUUGAGAACUUCUGGAUCAAAAUGCCGGGCUUUAUGGACGUCGUUUCCCAGGCUUGGAAUAAGGCCUCGUCCCACACUCAGCCGAUCCACAUUGUCAACCACAAGCUCAAGCUCACCGCCUCCCGCCUCCGCUCUUGGAGCAAGCUUCUCUUCUCCAACUCCAAGCUCCUUCUGCUCAUGGCCCUCGACGUCGUCUUCCAGCUCGACGUCGCUCAGGAGGAUCGUCCGCUUUCCCCGGAGGAGCGCGGUCUCCGCUCGGAUCUCAAACGCAGGAUCCUGGCGCUCGCCUCCCUCGAGCGGGCGCGAAAGAAGCAGUCCGCCACCAUCGCGUGGCUCAAGGAAGGGGAUGCUAACUCCAAAUUUUUCCACAUUCGAGCUAACGGCCGUCGCCGAAAGAACCACAUCCAGAGGCUCCUUGUUGCAACAGCUGGGUCUCGACGCACGACGAUAAAGCCGCGGCGAUCUUGACGCACUUUGCUUCCGCUCUCGGAAGACCAGCGCCUCGCUCGCUCGACCUCAACUGGGCGGCCCUCGACCUUCAACAGCACGACCUCGACGACCUCGACCUCCCUUUCUCGGAAGAGGAAAUCCUCAAAGCCAUCGUCGAGUUCCCCGCAGAUAAGGCCCCGGGUCCGGACGGGUUCACGGGCAAUUUCUUUCGUGCUUGCUGGCCCAUCAUCAAAGACGACAUUAUGUGCCUCGCCAACGCGUUCGGGAGACAAGAAACCCACAAUCUCCACAUUUGCAACACGGCCAACAUUGUCCUCAUUCCCAAAAAAGACGGCGCCGAUUCGAUCUCAGACUACAGGCCGAUUAGCCUCAUUCAUGCCAUGGCCAAGAUCCUCUCUAAGGCGAUGGCGUUGCGCCUGCGCCCCAAGAUGCAUGAGCUGGUCUCCCUUAGCCAAAGCGCCUUCAUCAAAACUAGGAGCAUUCAUGACAAUUUCAUGUUCGUCCGUGGCAUGGCCCGCAGACUGGAUCGGUCCAAGUCGCCCACCCUCCUCAUCAAGCUCGACAUUGCCAAAGCUUUCGACACUGUUCGUUGGGACUUCAUCCUCGAUCUCCUGCAGCACCGCAGAUUCCCCAACCGUUUUCGAGCUUGUUUGACUAGCCUCUUCGCCUCUGCCACCUAGCGUGUCCCCCUCAACGGGUCCCCGGGUGAGGCUUUCUGCCACGGGCGUGACCUGCGGCAAGGCAACCCGCUUUCCCCACUCCUGUUCAUCCUGGCCAUCGACCCGCUCCAGCACAUCCUCCAGCUGGCUACGCAAGAGGGCCUGCUUAGUGAGCUCCCCGGGUGCCUUGCCUCGCGCCUUCGCUUGUCUCUAUAUGCCGAUGAUGCGGUGAUCUUCCUCUCGCCUACUGCCCCUGACGUGGCCAACUUGUCAAACAUCCUCCAGAAUUUUGGCGAGGCUAGCGGGUUGCGGACGAACGUCGCGAAGAGCUCCAUCGCCCCGAUCCGCUACGACGCCGCCGUCCUGGAUGAAAUCCUCGCAGGCUUCCCCGCGGUGAGGGUUGACUUCCCUAUUCGAUACUUGGGCCUCCCGCUUUCUCUGGGCCGUCUGCGACGAUCGGAUUUCUAGCAUAUCAUUGACAAGGCGGCCGGAAGACUGGCAAUCUGGAAGGGCAAGUGGCUCACCCGUGCGGGCUGCCUCACGCUGGUCAAGUCUGUCAUGACCUCUAUCCCAAUCUUCACGCUUUUGGCCAUUCGCCCUAGCAAGAGGGUUCUGUCUGACUUCGAUAAGCUCCGCCGCAACUUUCUGUGGAGCGGCGGCGACAAGGCCUCCGGCAGGCACUGUAAGAUCAACUGGCAACGUGUGUGCCGGCCGAAGAACCUGGGCGGCCUGGGCAUCCUAAACCUCGAGAAAUUCUCGCGGGCGCUCCGUCUUAGGUGGCUGUGGAACUCCUGGACUUCGCCCGACAAGCCGUGGGUGGGCCUCGAUCUCCCGUGCGAUGAUAUCGACAAAAGCCUCUUUGAUGCCUCCACCAAAAUCACUAUCGGCAACAGGUGCACAGCUUCGUUUUGGUCCUCGGCCUGGCUCGACGACCAACGGCCUAAAGAUAUCGCCCCAAAUCUUUUCCGGGCCGCCCGCCGCAAGAACCGCACGGUCCGGGAGGCUUUGACUCCCAACCAAUGGGCUACCGACCUGAACCUUGCUUCAUUCACCCCAACCCACAUCAGGGAGUUCAUCGACCUCUGGAUCAGGCUUCAGAACCGUGUGCUGCUUCCGGAUACGCCAGACAGCAUCGUCUGGACCCUCACGCCGAACGGGAUCUACUCGACCAGUUCUGCUUAUAAAGCACAAUUCUUCAGUGCCACGGCUUGCAACUUCCACCGCCUCAUCUGGUCGUCUUGGUCCGACUAGCGAGCAUUUUGCCUUAGCUUUGUCCUCUUUUUCUUUCCUUUUUCUUUGACUUCGGUCAACAAUGUUUACUCCUUCUUGAUCAAUAUAUAGGCAAAUCUUUUGCCUCGUUUCAAAAAAAAAAGUUUAUAUGCAUGUUAUAAUUGCUACGUAGUAUUUCUCUCAAAGACUCGAUAACAAGCUAGUUAGAGAUUUUAACGGGUUACUGAAACCGGACCGAACUCUAAAGUCAAUACUACUUUAUCUGUCCAACAAAGGAUGUUUCAACUUUGACUAAAUUUGAAUCCAGUUCGAGGGUCAAACUGUUGGUAAAACCUAGAUAGUAGUCCGACUUGAAUACUUGAUCAAAUAGGUAACAAGUUAGAUAUCGUUCCAAAAAAAGGAAACCAGACCUAACUCACCCACCCUUGACCCUCGUCCUUUAUAUUUCUUUUCGGAGAUAUCCACCCAAGCUAUAUAUACUUUUGUUUAGAUCUAGUUGGGAGCCGAGAGUUCGAGAAAGAGCACGGCAUACUUGGAUGGACGUGUUACCCGACGAGUUAAUUUGCUUGUUAUAUUCGUUGUUUCUUUGAUGUUCCGGACGUACGGAGUGAAACCGGACCGAACUCUAACCCACCUGCUAAUUUGAGAUUGAUUGGGCUCCUAUAAUUACUCGUACGUAAUUGCCAAACGAAACGAACUGACGGCAUGGAUGUGUUGCCCGACGACAUGGUGGCGAGCGUCCUCGGCCGUCUGGACCCCUCCAGCCUAGCCGGCUGUCGUUGCGUGUGCAAGGCGUGGCGCGCCACCGUGGACGCCCACCGCCUGCUGCGCAAGGACCUCCUGCCGCUCUCCCUCGCCGGCAUCUUGGUCCUCUACCCCACCGACAUCGGCUUCGACGUGGCCCCGACAUUCUUCUCCCGCCCGGCCUCCAUUGACGGGAACCGCAGCUACCUGGACACCUUCAGGGCCGACGACACCGACUGGUCAGGACUCACGUGCCACUGCUGCGGCCUCCUCCUAGUCCGCGAUGGCGUCGUCAACCCCGCCACGAACCAGUGGGCGCGCCUGCCACCUUACCCCCACGAACCGACGCCGGGCAACAAGAGCUUCUUCCAGUGCCCCUUCCUCGCCUUCGAUCCUACUAUCACACCGGUUUCGUCGUCUCCGCAACACUUUGAGGUGUUCUUCAUGCACUGCCUUCGCCACGGCCGGUACUCGAACAGGACCGAAGUAGACCUUGAGAACCCGGGCUCGGAGUGGCCGCCGUCGCCUUUCGUCAUGAGCGCCUUCUCAUCGAAGACAUGGCGCUGGGAGGAGAGGUCUUUUGCCAGGGAAGGGAGGGCUCUACGGUCCAUCGCAAGGGUAAUGCCGUUUUUGCAACGGAUGAAUACCUGUCAUGUUUCCGUGUAUUGGCGCGAACGGCUCUACGUCUACCACAUAUAUUUUAUAACCAGGUAUGUGUACAAUGUUUUCAUGAUUUUCUAUUGAUUAAGUAUACAAAUUAUCGCGAUACGUACUACUAAUAUAUAUUAAUAUAUAUACUAUAUGGUUGCAAACUUGUGUGCAGAUUGGACUUGGAGGAUAAUAAGUACCGGGUAAUCGAACUCCCCCCGAUUAAUAAAGCAUGCGGAAAUAUUUAUCCAUAUUUCGGGAAAUCCGAGAAAGGCGUCUACUAUGGGUUUGUCUAUGGUUUGUGCAAACUUCAGGUUUGGCUUCUCGAUGAAUCAACUCAUCAGACGACUGGCCAUUGGAUUUUGAAGCAUGACAUCGACCUCGAGCCUUUGCUGGAAAAUUUUCCUUGGAAACAUGGUGAUGGACCUUGGUCUGAGAAAGCUACACUAGAGAAAGAAGAGAAACCAGAAUGGGAUUCAGACAACGACGAUGGCAUUACUACUACUGCUACUGUUACUCGAGUUAGUGGCCAGAGAAUAUUUAGUAUUUCCGUACUUGGAUUUCAUCCUUACAAAGAGAUAAUCUUUUUGCACACAUUAUCCGAGAGAGUAAUGGCCUAUCAUCUAAAUAGCUCUAAGGCUGAGUAUCUCGGUUGUUUACCCUUAGACGACUUUGGUUAUGAGAUGCGGGAGGGGUUGUCUUUUAUAUACACUCCUUACUGGAUGGAGAUCAGCUGCUUGAGUUUAAAGGCCGAUGUCGAUCUGCAAGCUCUAGGGCGGCUGUAGCAUGUAGCUUGAUAUCUUCAAAUUAGCUUCAGCAGAUUUUCAGUUUGAGCAAACCGAUCCAUAAUAAGUGCUUUUGAUUUAGCUAGUACGACUUUGUACUGAAGUUGUACUAAAUCAAAAACACUUAUUAUGAAUCGGGGGAGUAGUAUUUGUUACUAUAGGAAUUAAUUGUACUGUUUUUAUUGCUGACAUGUAAUGUUUUAUUCCACAAAUCCGCACUGAUGCAUGCAUCAAGUCUGAAGUUCACACUGUUCGAUUAGUUCGAUCUGGAACUGAGAGAGCCAAACUGAAUUCCGAUUAUCAAUUUUCUACAGCUAAGUUCGGUUCUAAGUUUAUAGGAACCGGUGUUUGUAAAAAAAAAAUCGAUCAUCGACGGCGCCUCUUCACACGCGUCCAGGUGUGGUAGCCGUGACAUGGCCUCCUCCACGAGAACCAAUUAAGCUUGACACCAAGCUGGUGCAUCAAGGAAAGCAUUGAGACCACGGGAAACAGAAGUUCUCCCACCUUCUGCAAUCGAUCGACAGGUAAUUAAAUGGCUCCAAGAAACCAACACUUGAGGUUGCAUUUUGCGUGCGACCAGGUCGGAUGCAGUCGCGCAUGCAUCCACCACGGAGAGAGGCUGCAUGCACCUCAACAGGAGAGUACUCCAUGAGAAUUGAGAAAUGCAGCAAGGUCAGAGCUCACCUGAUCAUCGCCGGUGCCUCCUCGAUCUUUGCCUCUAUUCGUUUAUUUGCAUGUAUGUUAGUAUUUCUCUCAAAGACUCGAUCCGUAGUACGUAACAAGUUAGUUAGAGACUUUAACGGGUUACUGAAACCAAACCGGACCGAACUGAUCUAACCCACUCCUUCACCCUUGAGAUUGAUUGAGCCUAUAUAUAUUUUUCUCUGUUUUUGUUGGGUACGUAAUACACGUACAACUACGUGAUUUUUUUGCGGCCAAACGAAACGGACUGACGGCGGCAUGGAUGUGUUAGCCGACGACUUGGCUGCGGAUGUCCUUGGUCGUCUGGACCCUUGCAACCUGGCCGCCUGCCGUUGCGUGUGCAAGUCCUGGCGCGCAGCCGUGGACGCCCACCGCCUGCUGCGCAAAGACCUCCUGCCGCUCUCCCUCGCCGGCAUCUUCGCCGACUACUCCUCCCGAGUCCGGCGAGUACAAUCCCACGAUAUUCUUCUCCCGCCCGGACUCCAUUAACAAUCCUCCCAUCGACGGGGACACCAGCUACCUCGACAUCAUGGGCCACUGCAACGGCCUCCUCCCCCUCUUUGGGGCCGUCGCCAACCCCGCCACACGGCAGUGGGCGUGGCUGCCGUAUUACCCUUUCGACUAUCCAUGGCUCAACGAGGACUUCCUCCAGCGUCCCUUCCUCGCCUUCGAUCCUACCACUACGCCUGUCUCGUCUCAACCACACUUUGAGGUCUUCUUCAUGCAUUGUCCUUUCCGCACGCACUGAGAGCGCAGGACUGAGCUAGACCCUGCCAACCCGGGCUCCGAGUGGCCGCCAUCGCCCUUCGUCAUGAGCGUCUUCUCGUCGAGGACAUGGCGCUGGGAGGAGAGGUCUUUUGUCAAGGAUGGAAUGGCUCUACGGUCCAUCACAAGCGUGGCGCCAUUUCUGGAACGGGUGUCGUCCCGCCAUGAUGCCGUGUAUUGGCGCGGACACCUCUACGUCUGCCACAUAUAUUUUAUUAUGAGGUAUGCAAUGUUUUCCAUAAUCUCCUCUUAAUCAGCAAGGUCAUGCAUGAUACUGCUCCAUCCGUUCUUUUUGUAAGAUGUUCUCGCUUUGUCUAAGGCAAAACUUCUUAAAAUUUAACUAAAUUUACAGAAAAGUCUACCAACAUCUACAACUUUAAGUUGUUUUUAUUAAAUCAAUCAUGAUAUAUAUCUUCGUAGUAUACAUAUUUGACAUUGUAGAUGUUAGUACAUUUUUCUACUCCAUAAAACUUGAUUAGAUUUUAAGAAGUUUGACUUAGGACUAAAACAUUCUAUAUAAAAACGAACGGAUGGAGUACUAUAUAUGGUUGCCAAUAACAAAACUUAUGUGCAGAAUAAACUUAGAGGACAGCAAGUACCAGGUAAUUCAACUCCCCCCGAUGAAAGAAACAUGCGGAAGUAUUGACCCCAUAUUUCGGAAAAUCCAAGAAAGGCGUCUACUAUGGGUUUGUCUAUGGUUGGUACAAACUUCAGGUUUGGUUUCUUGAUGAAUCAACUCAUGGGACGCAUGAGUGGACGUUGAAGCAUGAUAGCGACCUCGACCUCGAGCCCUUGCUGGGAAAUUUCCCUUGGAAACAUGGUGAUGGACCUUGGUCUGUACAAGGUCAUUCUGUCAAUGCUGAAGCUACACUAGAGAAAGAAGAGAAACCAGAAUGGGAUUCAGACAAGGAUGAUGGUAUUAGCAUUGCUACUGAUGCUGAUGAUAUUAUCUGGAAAGGAUUUAGUAUUUCCAUACUUGGAUUUCAUCCUUACAAAGAGAUUGUCUUUUUGUACACAUCAUCCGACAGAGUAAUGGCCUAUCAUCUUAAUAGCUCCAAGGCUGAGGAUCUCAUUUCUUUACCUUUAGACCUCUUUGAUUAUGACAUGCAAAUGCAAUUAGGGUUGUCUUUUACAUACACCCCUUGCUGGAUGGAGAUCAACUGCUUGAGAGAGACCAGCGUCGAUCGAGCUCUAGGUCAGCUGUAGCAUGUAUUAAUUGCUUGGAACAUGUUGUCUAGUUAUGGUUGAUUGUUUGAGAGAAGUUGUUGGACUCGUUUGACCUUUUGUAUACAAGCGUAAAAAAGAUAAUUUCCGAUCUGCAACAAAACCAUAAGAGUGGUUGCUUGUAAUAUUAUUUGUCUUUUAUUGCAACUAGCAAGGUGGCCCAUGCAGACAUCUAAAUAUAUGUCUAUUAUUGUUGAAAUUUCUUAUAAGAGUAUACACAUUUUUCGAAGCCAUUGAUAUUUCUUGUUUUUCAUUAAUAUUAACAAAAUGAGCAUUUUUACGGUACCCUGGUACUCCAUAUGUGAGAUGGGAGUACUAAACAUAUCUAACUGUCCAUUUUUAUAAGGGUAAUUUAGGCUUUUUUUUGUCUAGGUAUCACCGCAACUGUCCUUCUCUUCCGUCAGCCGCCGGCCGGCGCCGUCUCUUCUCCCGAUAUUCCAGCGAACAGCGCCGGUCUUUUUCCUUCCAGUCUACAGCGGUACUAAUGAAUCAAGUCUCAAGAAAAAUAUCAGAUCUGAUACUCCAGGUGGGACGCAAGUGAAUUACUGCUCAAGAUAGCUGCAGCGGCUUGCACAUUUAACCACUGCUAGUGCCCGUUCAGGACCAUCCGGCGAGAACUCUAGCUCUGGCAGGAUGCGCGGUCUGCGAUAGAGAGGAAAGACUCACGGCGAUAAGGCUAGUAACGAACCAUCGGAGGAGACGGGCGUCAGCGUUGCUUUACUAUUUUGCCCCUAAAAUUAAGGUACUCCGCAGUUUUGGAGGUGGUACUCCUCGAGAUUUCUAUUGGAGUACUAUUUAAAAUUAGCCAUUAGAUCAAGACAAAUAGACGGUCUAUAUUUAGCUGAUAUUUUGGGUUCAUAAAAAAUAGUUAGUACAUUGUUGAUGACCAUUGGCAGCUGUCCAAUACUUUCUUUAUUGAUGGUUUGGGGCAUAUUUCGCUACCAAGGUGAAUUCCAUUUCUGAACUCCAGAGAAUCUAGGAUUUGUUUUCUGUUACAUGCUAAGACCAUCAAACAGGUCGUGCAAACAACCACAAAUGCCUUAAUUAUUGUUGUUGCCUAGUCAGUAUAAAAGAUAAAACUAUUCGAUGUUUGGAUGAUAAACACGUUUGUAUAAGCUCAAAGUUUGAACCUCAACCAUGCAAUACUUAACAUAUCUAAAUUUACCCAAAGAAAGGUAUGUACUCCCUCCGAUCCAUAAAAAGUGUCGCCCAUUUUGUACUAAGUUAGUACAAAUUUUGUACUAAGUGGACGACACUUUUUAUGGAUCACAGGGAGUAUAAAUUUGUAUUCAGUAGAAUCAUUUAUGAUACACAUACCUAAUUUACUGUCCUCUUCUCCUUCUUCGUUGAGCUGUUGGCGGUAGAUUCUCAGAAGGCCCACAAGGAAGUGUUGUUCCUGUCUCUUGCUCUAUGCGUCUCUUCAGCUCUCUUAGAAUUCGGAUUUGGCCCAAUUUUUCAGGAGAUAAUUUUUCCCAGUAAAUCCCUGUGUGCACAAGUUCUUCAAAUUUUGGUCAUCACAGGGGCAUUUGCAAGUUUACGAAGUGACAGAAAUCAGUCAAACCUUGUGGCUUUGGGAUUGUGGUAUUUGUUAAGAUGACCUGAGUUGGAGUGCAGAUAAUGUCAACCGGUACAUCAUGAAUUAGCAGCUUCUCAACUGGAAUGUCAUCCACUAACUGCCUGUCAUGCACUGUAGUCAUAGACAAAGUUGGAAGUUAACAUCAGUGUAUUAGUGAUAAGUAAGGAUUCACAUGAUAAAAAGUCUAUCAAAUACUCCCUCCGUUUCUAAAUACUUGUCGUGGUUUUAGUGCAAAUUUGCACUAAAACCACGACAAGUAUUUAGGAACGGAGGGAGUAGAAACUAACUAAGGCAUUCACCAGUUUUUUUCCACUUCAGAAAAGAAGUAAAGCGUGCAUGCAUAGAUGGCUCUUCGAAAGAAAGUGAUGUGGGUUAUAAUGGGAAAAUAACAUACAUCAGUAAACAUCAAAGAGCACAUUAUAUUUCAAAUAUUUAAACCAUUUCUGCGUCCAGGAUGUAAAGUUAAUUUGACGUAACCACAAGCUAACUCAUCAAAAGGUCAGAUUGGUGUCCUAAAUAUGUUGAGAAAAACAUAAUAGAACAACUGUCAUGCAUGCUCAAGAAUGACAAGAUAGGCACCAACUGUCAUGCAUGCUCAAGAAUGACAAGAUAGGCACCUGUAUAUCAAUCAUCAUAUUUCCUCCAUUACAAAACUAAUUACAUCCGUACAAAAAGGAUUACAGGCCUAAUAACUAAAUAACACUUACCAGUUGUUACUAUCAUGGUUGAAUCGUCUAUAGCUCCCAUAUAACGGAGCAUCCCAUAUUCCAGCUCUGCAAAUCCCUAUGAUUGACGAUAAAUUGGGGAUAAGGAGUAGGAAGAAUUUAGUUCGGGUAGACAAAUCAUAGUUCACUUUUAAGGCAGUGUUCAGUAUUCAGAUUGGACAAAGACCAUCAGUUGAUCAAGCUCAUUUUCUGUUAAAGUGAGAGAAAAGCAGGGAAAAGCUUUUGUACUCAUACCGAAAGGAUCGACAAAAUAAACUCCUGUUCAAUUUUUCAACUGCAUAUGGAAGAAGAAAAUAGUUACCUCACCCUUCCCUAGUCGUGCUCCUGUACUUGGAUCAACUGCAACAGACCCAAUCACAAUCAGAUCCACCUUAAUCCUUUCAUCUAGACCGAUUGGCCUUCCAUAUUUGGCUGCACCAACAGAAGUGCAUGCUUCAGGAAUGCAUCCAGUGGGUACCAUCUGAGAUUCUAGAACUGAGAAAAAUCCCGUCCUGAGCCGUGGUUGUGGAGUGAGCAGUUUCUUAUCGCCUGAAUGAUCCAAGUAGCGCCAUUUGCAAAAGAAAACAACAGAAACACGUUUAACCUGAUUGAGUAUGUAUGUGAGUAUGACUACUUGUACUGAGUGGUCUAGUAACUAAGCAUUAAAUUUCAAAUGCAAAUGGUACGGAAAAGCUAGGAGCCUCAUUCAGGACUCAGACAGGAUGGUAGGCUUAAUAGAUGGCAACACAGGAAAUAAUCAAGAGAUCGACAACCAAUAACACAAGAGGUAAGUAGCAUCGAGCUCACCAGAGAGUGUUAAGAACCGAACUUGCUUCUGAGGAGAGUCAGGAUUGACCUUGACACACCGUGCGUUCUGAAACACUUCCAGCCGCCCCAGCUGGUUAGAGUUAAAAAGAUUUCAAUGUGACUGUAAACACAUAAGCACGAUAAUGAAUGGUAAAAUAAUAGGGCCAAGGGAUGAAAUGCAUGUAUAAUCGGCUACAAGUAUAACUUCAACAAAAAUACAUCAAAUCGGAGGAUAUCGGUCACACUAACAAAGAAGCAUAAACUACUGUCUGCUGCUACAUUCAAUUUUUAAACAAACUACUGCUACAGAAAGAGGCCAUUCCCAGCGUUGAAUUACUGCAGUUUUACAAAACAUCAUGCUCUUGUUAACAUAAUUAGCAGCCAGUUCAUCGGUUUUGUCGACGAUUCCACAUGACACAUGCAUAAAAAUUCACAAGCGAGCUCCAUAAUUUUGCAAUGCGGCACACUUUGCGCAGGUGGUGCAUACCUAACAGCAACCCGGAACUGAGAUGGGAGGGGCGGACUGCGUGUAAGAGGAGAGGCGAGAGGGAUUCGGUAGGGGGUGGGAGUGCGGACCGAGUCGGCGGCGGCGGCGGCGCCGUCGAAGUUGGGGAUGCGGUGGUGGACGGGGCGCGGGUUGCGCGCGACGCCCUCGGCCUCCAGCGCGUCCCACACCCGCUUCCGUAUCCGCCACUUCCACGCCAUCGGGUCCGCUCCGGCGGCGGCGGCCGCCAUCCCAGCCCGCGCGUCGGCGUCGAGGCGGUGGCGCUCGGCCUCGAAGGCGGCCGCGUCGAACGGCGCCGAAGACGAAGACGAGGCGGAGGAGGAAGAGCUCCUGGCCCCCGCGGACGCCACGACGAGCGUGCUACGGCGGGAGGCGGCGGCGGCGCAGUGGAGCGAUAGCGAUAGCGACGGGGCGGUCGGGAGGAAGAGGGGAGGCAUGGCUUCCGCUCGUGCGCGCGCGAGGCGAGGCGAGAGAGCGGCCGGAUUGGGUCUGCUCUGCUGGCGUGCGGGCCCGGUCUCGCAGUGGGUCAGCCGAGCAUCAAUGAAGCGACAACUCGCUCUCUUUCUGUUUAGAUGGACAACUAGAAACGAAACAUGAGCAUUGAUAUUUUCUUUCUCCAUAAUAUGAAUUGUCGUUAUAUUGAUCUUAUAGGUUAAUUGUCCAAGAUUUGUUGUUAAGGGGCUGUUUGCAUUGAGCCCCAUCUAACCCUAUCAAAAUAUUGUAUAACCAAAUCAAAGGCAUGACUAAAAUAUUGGUAAGAUGUACUUGUUUGGACUGUAACCAAAGCAAAUGCCAAAUUUUUGGCAAAAUCAUGAACUUGUCGUUUGGUUUGAACCCAAGUGUACAGACUAUGGAUAUAUGCUUUUUUGGGUAUGAUCAAGGCAUGGAGCAAAUGGUUCGUGCUCUUGCUCUGCUCAAAGUUGAUGGGUGAUGACUGAAAAAACUGGAUCGAAAUGAAAUGCUCUGAUCUGAUACACAUAAAAUCACUACGUGCAUGCUCUGAGCUGAUGCAACUGAUAUACUUUGAUUUGUUUGCGCAUGAUUCAGUUCUUGCGUUUGAAUAGAUUGGAAGGGUUUUUUUUAUGCCGCCAAAAAUCUGGUAGCAGUAUUCUAGAAAAAAAAAACUGGUAGCAAUCCCAGAGCACAAUAGAAAGCUGACAUUUGAAAUAAGCUUGAAACGUCCAUCUAUAGAUGCUAAGUCAUUGAGGCCUUGCUACUACUACAUGGCAUCCUAGCUUGAUCGGCGCUGCUGAAUAGAUCAAACGCUGUCGAAUUUAUCAAGCUCUUUUUCAUCACACGAUUAUCGUCAGAUAUAAUGGAACAAACCAGUUCGCACCCAGGCAACCAGCCAACCACACAGAAACAACACAAAGUUUGCUAACACGAACUCACAAGUCACACCAGUAGAGACUCGAGUUCAAAAGCACGAGCUAAUCCAACGGCACCCGAAAGGCCAUGCUGAACUCAAAUCUCGAAGUUUCGGGACAUCCUAUUCCUGGGGACGACGCGAGCACGGAGCGGAUGCUUCAUGACGGCGGUGAACUCGAUCUCCUCAGCCAAGUCCACGCCCUUCCCUUCCCUCUCCGCCGGCGGCAGCCACUCCAUCUCCCUCACGAGGUUCGCCACGAAGAACUCCACGUGAAGCAACCCCACCGUAUACGCGGGGCAAAUCCUACGGCCAGCGCCGAACGGCACCAUCCUGAUCCCGCCUCUGCUCGCCGUGACGUCCAUGCCGUGCGCCUCGCCGCCGUCCAGGAACCGCGCCGGCCUGAACUCCCUCGGCGCCGCCCACUCCGCCUCGUCCAGGCCCCAGUCCCCCGCCAGGAAGUUCACCUCCGACCCAUUGGGCACCGCGUACCCGCCGAUCUCGGCCCCGCCGCCGUGGCCAAGCACGCCGUGCGGGACAAGGAAGUGGCCCGGCGGGUGGAGGCGCAGGCUCUCGAGCACCACGGCUUUGAGGUACGCCAUCCCCUGAAGGUCGUCCAGGUGCCCGUCGCGGCUGAGCUUGGAGAGGGUUUCAUUGUAGAUCUUGGUCUGGACGUCUUGGUGGUUCACGAGCUCCGCCAUGGCCCAUUCUAGUAAGGUCACCGUGGUGUCCGUCCCCGCGUUCAGGAACUCCGAGCACAGGGUCACCACCUCGCCGUCCGUCAGCGGCCGCCCCCCGCCGCCGUCUUCGUGAUCCUCGGGAAGGCGGAGACCGAGGAGGGAGUCGACGUAGCACGCGCACGGCGCCGGCGGCGGCUCCUGGGCGUCUUCUCGCAGAAGCUGCCGCCGGGCGUGGAUCAAGGGGAGGAAGAGCUCCUCCUGCCUGCGCCGCACGGCCACGUGCGCGGCCCAGCGCCGCCGGAACACCCGCUUGGUGAGCGCGGGGAAGAAGGAGAAGACGGGGAAGCUGGCCAUGGCGCGCACGAUGCGCUGCUGGAGCUCCAUGACCUCGCUCAGAGCAUCCGGGCCGAGCGCGGCGGUGGCGCCGAAGCACAUGUGCACGAGCAGCCCCACCAUGGCGCGCCGGAACGCCGGCCUCACGCGGACAACCCCAUCGUCGGCGCUCGCCCGGAGGUCGCGGAGGAGGGCGUCGAGGGCGCGCUGCCUGGCGGGAGCGAAGCCGGCGACGCGGGCCGGGCUCAGGGCCUGGGCGGCGAGGUUGCGGCGGAGGAGGCGCCAGUAAGGCCCGUAGGGGGAGGUGCUGAUGUCGCGGGCGCCGCCGGUGAGGAGCCGCAGGGGCUCGGCGAGAGAGGGGCGGUCGGCGAAGGUGGCGCCGCCCUGGACGAGCGCGCGGUGGGCGAGCCCGCGGUCGGAGACGAAGACGACGGUGCGGAAGAGGUGGACGGAGACGACGGGGCCGUACCGCGCGUGCAGGUCGCGGAGGAGCGGGGCCAGGUGGAAGACGGAGCGCCGGAGCAAGAGGAACCUGGCCAGGAAGACCAGAGUAGACGGGCCUGGAGGAAGCCGACCCUGCUGGCUCUUCUUGUUGUUCUUCUUCAUGCCGCGGAGGAAGAAGAGCAGACACAGGGAGAGGGUGGUGGUGAGCACUAGGGCCGAUGAUGGCCAUGGCCAGGUGCUGCUGCUGCUGGUAAGCUCCAUUAUGGUUGCUGCAGAUCUUGAUCUGCCUCUCCUGAUCAGGUAUGCCCUGGUUUUGGUGUAGUUUAGUUUAGCCAGCUGCGAUACCUCCAUUUUGAUUUAUAAGGCCUGAGACCGUGUCCAUGGAUCUUCAAUUUGAUCAAUUAAAUACGUGUUACACUUUUCAUUUCUAAAUGUCUGUGUAUUUGUAGUCGUCCUAAGUUAAACUUUGUCUUGACCGAUUUUGUAGGAAAAAACACCAGCAUAUGUAACAUUCAAUUAGUAUCAUUAAGACUAUUGCUACGUAUAUUUUUCAUAUUGUAAUUGUUUGGUAUUUUAUCUACAAGUCAUGUUAAAGUUUGACUUAGAACACCGCUAAAUGUAUAGAUUUUGAAAACACAGUGAGUGUUACGUAAAAAGUUUGUCAUUUGGCUAUCUAAAUUUGUGAUCGGAAUUGCCUUGCGUACGACGAUGUGUGUACGAUUUUCGUACAACUACACACAUGCACAGUUUGCAAUGUUGUGAAUCCAUGGCCCCAUGUUCUGACUCGGUGCAAAUGUGAGUCUUAUCGUACGAGUUCGUCGGACGAAUUCCGUCGUACGUGUAGCAGCUCUCAUUUGUGAUCUAGGAACACGUACAAGCCUUGUACUCCAAACGGAGGUGCUGUGAUGUCAACUCCAAUCUAUGUAUAUUAAGAUAUAUUUUUCCAGUGAUCUGGUAUAGAGAAUGACAAGUGGGGCAGAGAUAUAUGCAUAGCUGGGGAUUGUAUUAACUUGCUGCAAUGCUAGCGAGGAACGCUGUUUUUCCAGGAGUGCCAUAUGAUUGAUUAGGGGCUAUGCUAACGAGCGACCGGCUGAUGCCAUUGAUCUGAGGAUACGAUGGCUUCUGAUGCAGCAAAUACGCGGCCCCGAAUGCGUGUGCAGGAGGAGUAUACGCUCCUGGCGAUUGUAAGGGGCCCCGAGUCCCAACUGUCAGGCACAGUUUCACGUCAUAAAAUAAAAUAAAAACAUUAAAAUUUUGGCUUAAAUUCGAUUUAAGGUUUGAAUAUUGGACUGGACUACCUAGCGACGUGCCCACAGGAAGCUAACCGUGCGGCGCUUCGUACGCGCCCGCGCGUCCGUCCAGCGCGAUGGCCUACGAUGCUUUUUUGUUGCAGCUCCGGGUCGGGCUCGAAAUCAUGCGUCUGUCGAGAUGCACCAGGCCACCACGGCUCCCGUGGCAUAUGCACGGAGCAUGUCAGGGCUGGGCUGCCUUUGGUCCUGGAGACAUGACUCCGGCAGCUACAUGCUAUAUGCAGUUUCUCUGGCCAUCAUCUUUACUAGCAGCCCAUGACUAAAAUCGUAACAUAUUCGGAUUAAUUCCAUCGAAAACAUAGUCAUACACGAUGUACUUACCAGUUUAGCCACAGCUGUUUGCGGGUUUACCUUUAAAUACUUGUCUAUUUAUCAACAAAUUAACUACUUACUUACCGACUUAUCAGGUUUACCAUGUCUACUUAUCAGGUUAACUGCAUGUGUUUACGAGAUUAACAGUGCCAGCUUAUCAGGUUAGCUGUAUGUGCUUACCGGGUUAACAGCAUGUGCUUACCAAAUUAACUAUGACAGCUUACCAGGUUAACCGUGCAUACUUUGCAGGUUAACAAUGCUUAUUUACUGAGUUAACUGCGCUUAUUUAUCAGGACAACUAUGCUUAUUUACCGGGUUAAUGAUGCCAACUAGGUUCAACAAAAGCACGACCUUGAUAAAACGACAAUGAUAGAUCUGAGCUGCAAUCAUUGGCAUCAGCCAAUGCACUUGAGGGGACGAUCGAUGCUAACAAAGUCUCGUCUCAAUGCCUAAAUGCGUGCUAAGACGCUGGAAUGAAUGUAGGAGAUCAAAUUUCUGUAUAAGCGACGUCGAGCCACCCCUCGUUCUUUCCGGCGCGAGUCAUCUCAUCCUCUUCUGCGUCGCCACCGAAACCGACAACCGUCUUAUCCGGGUCAGGACAUGCUCCGCCUCCAUCGCGGGCUCGCGGCAGCGCUAUCAGUUCCGCCGUCCUAUGGUUGAGCUUGCUCCGGCGCGGUGUACAUAUUUAACAUCUUCUGAGCUUUUCAUCGACCACGUCACCGGCACGCUCGAGCACUCCUUCCGUCGCUGUACCUUGCUCCGCCGCGCCCCUGCUCUCCACCGACGCGGUCUGAACGCCGCCGCCACGAUCUGGACGCCGCUCCGCCAUGCCGUUGCUCUCCGCCGCCGCGGUAUGGACGCCGCACCGGGCAUGGAGCGAGUCGCCGAAGCGGGCGGCGCUGACGGUAAUGGAGUGGCUGCGCGCGCGUGAUGGGCAAGGACGAGACGGAUCUGGGGCAUGGUCGCCGGAGAAGCCUACAAGGUCGUCGUCGAAGCCGGAGUGUUCGGGAGCCGGGUGCUGGACGUGCCGCGGGAGACGGGCGAGAACCAGGGAGCGCGCGGGAAGGAAGCAGCCAUUGGGGCUGCCCGAGGCGCCGAGCAAGCUGCUGGAAAUCAGGCAGUCAGGCCGGCGGCGUUGUGGGUUGGAGAGGAGAAGAAUCGGGAGUGAAGAGGGAGGUUUGUGUUGGUGGGGAAUUUUGCGAAGAGAAGGCAUCAGCGGCUGACAGGAACCGGCUGCAAUCGGACGCUCGUGAGGACGCGCCGCACGGUAAGACUAGCGUGCGGACGUGCCCAGAUUAGAAUGUGCGUUGAAUAUUUGUCUAGAAACAGAGCAAUGCUUACCAUAUGAGAAUGCAACGAGCUACUUUAAAAUUUUGGCUUAAAAUUCGAUUUUCAACUAUAAUUUUUAUUUAAAAUCCGAUCUAAGAUUUGAAUAUUGGUCUAGAAACGGAGCUAUGCUUGGCAACCACGAUGGCGUGACUUGGGGAAUAGAUCUCCUGGAAAUUAUCUCCUUUCACUUGUUAUUUGUUCGGAAAUCUCAUUGCUAUGUUAUGCUAUUCUUAAGUCGUAGUAACAAACGUACUUAAAUUCGUCCCCAUCUUGAGUUCCUCGUCACCGUUUCAGAUUCAGACAUCGCCAUCAAGCAUGCCACGCACACGGACACAUGUCAUGUGCACGACAGUUGACCGCUCGAACAUGAUUAUUCAUCACCAUCUUCUGUACUUAUAAUACCAUUUUAAUUCGUCAUCCAUAUUUUGAUCGAGCUCGUCGUGGCGGUUUCAAAUUAUCAUGCGCAGUCAGGUCUUAUAUAUUUGCACGAUAAUUCGUCACUUAAGUUCCAUGAAAAAUAAGUCACCAUCUGUUAUGUUGCUCGUGGUGGCGCGUGCAUACUUUCAUAUCCCUAGUUGAUCCUGGUCUCGGAUUUUGAUAAAAAAAUUAUAUGUGGUGAUGGGUUGUUGCAAAUUUGCAAGUUGUGUCCAAAGUUGACUACAAGAGUGUAAUGAUCAACUGAAAAUUAGCUUAGUAUUUAUAUGUGGUGGAGUAGAUUCAUAUCGCGCAAAGUCAAACCAGCCAAGAAACAUCACGACAAAUGGAGUACAAGCCAAACAGUCAUGCCAACUCCGAUCUAUAAUAAGAUUGUUUUUAAGUGAUUCUUGCGUGCACCCCAAGAAUAAGCAUUGCCCGUAAAAAAAAUUGAUUACUACUUUUUCCAUCCAUAUUAAGUGUCUCAAAGUUUCCCAAACAGAAAUGUAUCUAUAGUUAAAAAAACAUCUAGAUAGUUAAAAAACAUCUAGAUACAUGUAAUAUUUUCACACUUAAUUGGAACGGAGUGAGUACGGUUCUUGCGCGCCCUAUAGCAUGCACGCGCUGCGGCUUCUUAAUUUCUCUUUGACUUUAAGAGUUAAAAGAUAAUUGUUUGUAGCUGCCUACAGAUUUCAGAAGCUUGCAAAGAUGCAGCUACAAGUUGGAGAGGCACCAACUUUCAUUCUGACCUUGCGAGAGCGAGACCGAAAGAGGAUACAUAGACAACACCACUAUUAAGUUCAAAAUUCAUAAACUUCAGCAGUUACCAUCCACAGCAACAGCUCACAGUUGCAAUUGCAAUGCAUAAACCGGUACUUAAACAAUCUGCCACAAAACUCAGAAGAAAAACUGAUAACACUAUGGAAUAAGAUCCGUCGCAGCCUAAGCCUUGCGCCUGCCGUAGAACCUCUGCUUCUCGUCUGUAGUCUGGAAGCGCCCAUGCCCAAACUUGGAUGAGGUGUCGACGAACUUGAGGGUGAUAUUCUCAAGGGCCAGGCGUGACGUCUGCUUGAGUAGGGACUGGCGGAGGGUCACCACCCUCUUCUUGGGGCCGACGCAGCAGCCCUUGAUCAUGAGGUAGUCACCCUUCACCACACCGUAGUGUGGGAAGCCGCCCAUCGGGGUGAUGUCCUUCUCAGUCCUGCAAGCACCAUGGUGUCAGUUUUACAGAGCAUGAUGAAGCGCUUAACACAAGAUCAGUCAUGUAGGUUUUGCUGAUAGAUACCUGUCGAACUCAGUGCUGGCAUCAUGAGUCUCCUGUCCAACCUUGCCAAUCUUGUAAACCUUCUUGUUCAUUUCUGUGCGGUGGUGGUAUCCAUUCUGACCAGCUCGGGCAACAGUGUAGGACACCCUAGCAGGAUGCCAGGCACCAAUACAGGCAACCUUGCGGAGACCCCUGUGGGUCUUGCGGGGAAGGCGGGUGACACCCCAACGGGUCACAACACCUUCAUAACCCUUGCCCUUGGUGACACCAAUGAUGUCAAUCAUCUCAUCCUUCUGGAAGACAGCUUCAACUGGAACUUCCUUCUCAAAGAACUUGUAGCCAUAGUCAACCUUGUCUGCAAUGGUGCCUCCAUUAAUCUGGAUCUCCAUGAGGUGGGCCUUCUUUUGCUUCAAACCCUUCAUCUUCCUAAUCUGUUAACAAUACACAGCAUGACAGGUGAGCAGAA
rnacentral:lncRNA from 1 species